rnacentral:misc_RNA from 1 species
AGCAGCCGCGGUAAUUCCAGCUCCAAUAGCGUAUAUUAAAGUUGUUGCAGUUAAAAGCUCGUAGUUGAAUUUCGGGAUUGGCGCAUCGGUCGUGCCUCACGGGGUAUGAACUGGUGCAGUCAAUUUCUCACCUUCUGGAGAACCGCGAUGUCCUUAAUUGGAUGCCGCGGGGAACCAGGACCUUUACUUUGAAAAAUUGAGUGUUUAAAGCAGGCUAUUUUUGCUUGAAUACAUUAGCAUGGAAUAAUAAAAUAGGACGGCAUGGUUCUAUUUUGUUGGUUUCUAGGACCACCGUAAUGAUUAAUAGGGAUAGUUGGGGGCAUUAGUAUUCAAUUGUCAGAGGUGAAAUUCUUGGAUUUAUUGAAGACUAACUACUGCGAAAGCAUUUGCCAAGGAUGUUUUCAUUAAUCAAGAACGAAAGUUAGGGAUACGAAGACGGUCAGAUACCGUCGUAGUCUUAACCAUAAACUAUGCCGACUAGGAAUCAGACGAUGUUAAUUUUUAUGUAUCGUUGGCUAAC